UAAAAGGCUUGGAACGAAAGAGUAAGUAUUCGGAAGCUUACAGAGAGAAGAUGCCACAGGUUGAGAGCAUCUUUAUGAAGAAGAUUACCCAAGUGCAUUCGGGAGCCGAUUCUGUGAAAUCACAAGGUUAGCAGAGUACGUAAGCGCACGUUACGCGUCAGAGUGUUGGACAGCAGUAUGUCCUUUAAUAGAGUGGAACCGCGGAUAAAUUCGUCUCUUGA
rnacentral:ncRNA from 1 species